rnacentral:rRNA from 1 species
UACAGGGGGGGCAAGCGUUGUUCGGAAUUACUGGGCGUAAAGGGUUCGUAGGUGGCCAACUUAGUCAGACGUGAAAUCCCUCAGCUUAACUGGGGAACUGCGUCUGAUACUGGAUGGCUUGAGUGCAGGAGAGGAACGCGGAAUUCCAGGUGUAGCGGUGAAAUGCAUAGAUAUCUGGAGGAACACCGGUGGCGAAGGCGGCGUUCUGGACUGCAACUGACACUGAGGAACGAAAGCCAGGGGAGCAAACGGG